UGGAAUAUGCUUGUUUCAAAGAUUAAGCCAUGCAUGUCUGAGCAUGCGCUGAAGUAAAGUGAAGCCGCGAAUAGCUCAUUACAACAGCCGUUGUUUCUUGGAUCUCUUCUCUACUUGGAUAACUGUGGUAAUUCUAGAGCUAAUACAUGCAAUCAAGCCUCGAUCACAAGUGACGGGCGCAUUUAUUAGAACAAGACCAUCUGGCUUCGCGCCAUUAAUUGGUGACUCUGAAUAACUGAGCCGAUCGCACGGGCUCGUCCCGGCGACGUAUCUUUCAAGUGUCUGCCUUAUCAGGUUUCGUUGGCGGUUUAUGUGACCGCCAAGCCUGUAACGGGUAACGGAGGAUCAGGGUCUGACUCCGGAGAGGGAGCCUGAGAAACGGCUACCACUUCUAAGGAAGGCAGCAGGCGCGCAAAUUACCCAUUCUUGGCUCAAGGAGGUAGUGACGAAAAAUACCAAGGUGAGGCUCAUUGAGCUUCACCAUUGGAAUGAGAACAAUCUAAAUCCUUUAACGAGGAUCUAGU
rnacentral:rRNA from 1 species